GACGAACGCUGGCGGCGUGCCUAAUACAUGCAAGUAGAACGCACAGUUUAUACCGUAGCUUGCUACACCAUAGACUGUGAGAUGCGAACGGGUGAGUAACGCGUAGGUAACCUGCCUGGUAGCGGGGGAUAACUAUUGGAAACGAUAGCUAAUACCGCAUAAUAUUGAUUAUUGCAUGAUAAUUGAUUGAAAGAUGCUAUUGCAUCACUACCAGAUGGACCUGCGUUGUAUUAGCUAGUAGGUGAGGUAACGGCUCACCUAGGCGACGAUACAUAGCCGACCUGAGCGGGUGAUCGGCCACACUGGGACUGAGACACGGCCCAGACUCCUACGGGAGGCAGCAGUAGGGAAUCUUCGGCAAUGGACGAAAGUCUGACCGAGCAACGCCGCGUGAGUGAAGAAGGGUGUCGGAUCGUAAAGCUCUGUUGUAAGAGAAGAACGGGUGUGAGAGUGGAAAGUUCACACUGUGACGGUAUCUUACCAGAAAGGGACGGCUAACUACGUG
rnacentral:rRNA from 1 species